rnacentral:rRNA from 1 species
CACGUAGGGGGCAAGCGUUGUCCGGAUUUAUUGGGCGUAAAGCGCUCGUAGGUGGUUCGGUAAGGCAGGUGUGAAACCUCCAGGCUCAACCUGGAGACGCCACUUGAUACUGCUGUGACUGGAGUCCGGUAGGGGAGCGUGGAAUUCCUGGUGUAGGGGUGAAAUGCGCAGAUAUCAGGAGGAACACCAGCGGCGAAGGCGGCGCUCUGGGCCGGUACUGACACUGAGGAGCGAAAGCGUGGGUAGCAAACAGG